CACGUCAGCGCGCUUUGCUGACGUUGACACAAAUCGUGCUCCAGAGGACGCGAUUGUUGCCAUGUCAGCAAAGCGCGCUGACGUGG
rfam:Gossypium raimondii Chr05_contig_961, whole genome shotgun sequence.